rnacentral:tRNA from 1 species
GUGGAUAUAACUCAGCGGUAGAGUGUCACCUUAAGUUGGUGAAAGUCAUCAGUUCGAGCCUGAUUAUCCUAA